UAUCCCCUGCCCUGUGCGAGCAUUUCAGUUAAUAUAACCCAACACAUUUUUUCAUGGAGCCCUUCUCCGUUGGCGGAUUGCAGACCUCCCGGCUUGCCCCUGCGGCGAGUUGGAUGAAGGGAGCGAGAACCCAAAGGGUGGGCACCGACCUGCUUUCGUUGGGCAGGUUAUCAUUACUGAUUCCGGCCGGGUGGGGUCUAU
rnacentral:other from 1 species